GAGGGUGUAGCUUAAGUGGUAGAGCGUACACUUAGCAUGCACAAAGUCCUGGGUUCAAUCCCCAGUACCUCCA
rfam:Camelus ferus unplaced genomic scaffold scaffold1073, whole genome shotgun sequence.